AAUAGAUACCCCGGUAGUCCACGCCGUAAACGAUGAGCGCUAAGUGUUAGAGGGUUUCCGCCCUUUAGUGCUGCAGCUAACGCAUUAAGCACUCCGCCUGGGGAGUACGGUCGCAAGACUGAAACUCAAAGGAAUUGACGGGGGCCCGCACAAGCGGUGGAGCAUGUGGUUUAAUUCGAAGCAACGCGAAGAACCUUACCAGGUCUUGACAUCCCACUGACCGGUAUAGAGAUAUACCUUUCCCUUCGGGGACAGUGGUGACAGGUGGUGCAUGGUUGUCGUCAGCUCGUGUCGUGAGAUGUUGGGUUAAGUCCCGCAACGAGCGCAACCCUUGAUCUUAGUUGCCAGCAUUUAGUUGGGCACUCUAAGGUGACUGCCGGUGACAAACCGGAGGAAGGUGGGGAUGACGUCAAAUCAUCAUGCCCCUUAUGACCUGGGCUACACACGUGCUACAAUGGAUGGUACAAAGGGCUGCAAGACUGCGAAGUCAAGCCAAUCCCAUAAACCAUUCUCAGCUCGGAUUGCAGG
rnacentral:rRNA from 1 species